rnacentral:rRNA from 1 species
AAGGAAUAUUGCUCAAUGGGAGAAAUCCUGAAGCAGCAACGCCGCGUGGAGGAUGAAGGGUCUAUGACUUGUAAACUCCUGUAAAGAAGGAAAAAAUUCCCAUUAGAUGGGAGAUGAUGGUACUUCUGGAGUAAGCCCCGGCUAACUACGUGCCAGCAGCCGCGGUAAUACGUAGGGGGCAAGCGUUGUCCGGAUUUACUGGGUGUAAAGGGUGCGCAGGCGGUUUUGUAAGACAGAGGUGGAAUCCCCGGGCUCAACCUGGGAACUGCCUUUGUGACUGCAAAGCUGGAGUGCGGCAGAGGGGGAUGGAAUUCCGCGUGUAGCAGUGAAAUGCGUAGAUAUGCGGAGAAACACCGAUGGCGAAGGCAAUCCCCUGGGCCUGCACUGACGCUCAUGCACGAAAGCGUGGGGAGCAAACA